ACUCGAGUCUUUGACGCAAGUUGCGCCCGAAGCCAUUAGGUUGAGGGCACGCCUGCCUGGGUGUCACAUAACGUCACCCCCCCACGUAAAUCGUUUAUCGGGGUGAAGGUUGGCUUCCUGCGAGAGCAAGUCCUCGUGGUUGGUCGAAAACUCAAGUAACGGUAGAGGCCCCUGCAAUAAAUGGUGGAUGAGAAGCUCUCGAUACCAAUUGUGGUUGUGGUAGUUUGCCAGAUGUAAUGAUUUGACCCUGUUGUUGUUGAUCCAAAGGACGUACUUACCGAGACCUCAGGUCAGGCGGGGUUACCCGCUGAGUUUAAGCAUAUCAAUAAGCGGAGGAAAAGAAACUAACAAGGAUUCCCCUAGUAACGGCGAGCGAACCGGGAACAGCCCACCAUGAGAAUCGAUUGCCUUUGGUUUUCGAAUUGUAGUCCA
rnacentral:rRNA from 1 species